AUGGUUUACUUCUCUUAUUUUCAAAAUUAAAUCAUGGAUCACAAUCAUUAUUGUCCAAAUCAAACGUGUAUAGCGGAAAAAGAAUUAUGGAGGUGGGAGGGGCAGGGGAAAAUCACCAUUUCAGGGCACNNNNNNNNNNGUUGUCCAAAUCACCAAAUCAAAUGUGUAUAGCGGAAAAGGAAUUAUGGAGGUGGGAGGGGCAGGGGAAAAUCACCAUUUCAGGGCACCAUGUUCAGCUCAAUAAUGGCGUUGAUUCCACAUGCUUCUCAUAUGAUGUGACAAUCAAAUGAAUUAAAUUCUACAUGUCACUGCACAUAAUCAUAUUUAAGUGCCGAAAGACGAUUGAAACAAAUUUAGAAACUGUAUAUAAAGGGGAACUGAAAUCAAUUUAAACAUGGUGUUUUUUGGUAGAUGGGUAUAUUAAUGUGGAUUUCCGUCCAAAAUUGAGGUGAGCACAUAUUGAGUUAACGACAUAAAUCUUCAACAACGGAUCAAUAAAAAAAUGGCUGCAAUAAUAGAUAAUUAUGCAUCUGACUUACUCAAUUGCCUAAUUUGAGAAAUUUAAAUAAACAUGUUCCAUUUAGAUCAGUACUAAACUUCUCUGGAGAUGUGACAUCCAAUUUUUGGCAAGACUGCAAAUGAUAAAAGUUGAGAGAUGGGAAGAAAGAUGAUACCGACAGCCGCCCCCCUUCUCAUAGAGCCUUUUGCAUGGUGCACACUCACUGGCGUUCGCCAUCGCCGUACAUCUCUUCCGCGUAGCCCAUGAUACUUACUUUAACCUGAUAGUUAUUUCCAUAUCUUUCUCAACUCCAACAUUAUUAAAUUUGGCAUCAUCGUGCAACCAAUUAUCAAUAGGUAAAUCAUGAUGUAUCAGGACAAGUGUGCAAGUCGUAACCCAAGCUAGAAGACA
rnacentral:lncRNA from 1 species